CUGUCUUAUUUUUAAAUAUUAAAUUUAACUUUUAAGUGAAAAGGCUUAAAUUUUAUAAAGGGACGAUAAGACCCUAUAAAACUUAAUAUAGAGUGUUUUAAUUUUUAUAUUUGUUAGUUUAUUAAUAAAUAAAAUAUAAUGUAUUGUGCUGGGGCGGCAGAGAUAUAUAGGAACUGUUUUGUUAAUAACAGAAAUGUUUGGUUAAAAUGAUCCUUAUAAAUAAAGAUUAGAAGAUUAAGUUACUUUAGGGAUAACAGCGUAAUUUUUUUUGAGAGUUCUUAUCGAUAAAAAAGAUUGCGACCUCGAUGUUGAAUUAAAAGUUCUUUGUGGUGCAGCAUUUACAAAAGAGGGUCUGUUCGACCUUUAAUUUUUUA
rnacentral:rRNA from 1 species